rnacentral:rRNA from 1 species
UACGGGGGGAGCAAGCGUUGUUCGGAAUUACUGGGCGUAAAGGGCUUGUAGGCGGCCAACUAAGUCCGACGUGAAAUCCCCAGGCUUAACCUGGGAACUGCGUCGGAUACUGGAUGGCUUGAAUUCGGGAGAGGGAUGCAGAAUUCCAGGUGUAGCGGUGAAAUGCGUAGAUAUCUGGAGGAAUACCGGUGGCGAAGGCGGCAUCUUGGACCGGCAUUGACGCUGAGGAGCGAAAGCCAGGGGAGCAAACGGG